CCUGGCUCAGGAUGAACGCUAGCGACAGGCCUAACACAUGCAAGUCGAGGGGCAGCACAAGGAGCAAUCUGAGGUGGCGACCGGCGCACGGGUGAGUAACACGUAUGCAACCUGCCUGUAAGCGGGGAAUAACCCGUUGAAAGACGGACUAAUACCGCAUAAUACUAAAUUACUGCAUGGUAAUUUAUUUAAACAUUUAUGGCUUACAGAUGGGCAUGCGCAUGAUUAGCUAGUUGGAGAGGUAACGGCUCCCCAAGGCAACGAUCAUUAGGGGUUCUGAGAGGAAGGUCCCCCCACACUGGUACUGAGACACGGACCAGACUCCUACGGGAGGCAGCAGUGAGGAAUAUUGGUCAAUGGACGAGAGUCUGAACCAGCCAAGUCGCGUGCAGGAAGAAUUGUCCUAUGGAUUGUAAACUGCUUUUGCAGGGGAAUAAAGUGCAUCACGUGUGAUGUUUUGUAUGUACUCUGCGAAUAAGGAUCGGCUAACUCCGUGCCAGCCGCCGC
rnacentral:rRNA from 1 species